GACGAACCGUGCAACCGUUGUUCGGAAUCACUGGGCUUAAAGGGCGCGUAGGCGGGCUCUCAAGUCGGGGGUGAAAUCGUUCGGCCCAACCGGACAAGGGCUUCCGAUACUGAGAGUCUCGAGGGAGGUAGGGGUCGAGGGAACUGGUGGUGGAGCGGUGAAAUGCGUAGAUAUCACUAGGAACGCCGGUGGCGAAAGCGCUCGACUGGACCUCUUCUGACGCUGAGGCGCGAAAGCCAGGGGAGCAAACGGG
rnacentral:rRNA from 1 species